CCUAAGAGCUAGGUGCAGUCAAGUAGGACCAUAAUUAAAUUACAACACCCGCAGGUGAGUCCUACAUGCAGGACAUCUGUCAGAACGCCGAAGAAAACCUCGUGAGAAACCAACUGCUAACUAGAACCUGGAGGGGCGCAAAAACAAAAUUGAGUGGGUCAGUAACACCAAAGUUUUCCAAAACAUUUCAUUUAAAACAUUUCUAACCCCUCACUGUAAAACCUGUAUACUUCCCCAGAAAAUAUCAUAAUAGUAUAUAAAUCCUCAUAUGUCACAAAUCAUCAAUCUAGCACAAAUCCAGAAAUAUGCCAUGCCAUAAAUGUCAAUAACGAAACAUGGAUGCAUCAAAAUAACAGGUGACAUAAUGAAUCAACCGGAGACCCUGCAGUUGGUCCUGUACGGUUAAUUCCAUAGCUCAAUAUCCAACCCAGCUGGAGUUACCACGGUGACCUAUACGGCACUACUAUGCACAUAAAUCGGAACUACCUAAAAUAGUCUGUACGAUAAGAAAGGUGUAAGAAUACGCUCUAGUGCUUCUCUCAUCAAUCAUUUGCGCGCAUAAUCUAAGGUCACCUACUAGUCGGAACCACCUCUAGUGGUCUGUACGACUAGCAUGUCGGAACCCUCUCAUGGUCUGUACGACUAGCACCUACUUGGAUCCAAGAUGAGCGUGCGGUGCGGUGAAUAAUAUAAGCACUAACACCAGGGGUGCAGGUUAUGAGCUCUCAACACAAUUCACAUCAUCAAUGAUUCACAUGAAUAACAUAAACUCACUUGAUAUUCACAUGAAUAACAUAAACUCACUUGAUAUUCACAUGUGCGUCCACAGCACCAAUUCACAUAUAUAUGCAUCAAUUAUCAAUUCAUAUAACUCAUAAUAUGCAUGCAUGGCAUUUGAAACAUACUUUCAUAUAAAUUCAAUUUCUGGGAAAAUCAAUAACAUAUAGGUAUAUACGGAAAACAAAACUGCCCACUCACUGGUAAGUCGAUGGGUCGUAACCCCCGUGACGUCCCUGGAUGCGCUCGUCCUCGGGAUAGGUGUCACCUAUAUGCGAAACAACUAUAACAACGUUAAUUAAAGCACAUAACCAACAAAUCGAAAUAACUUCUCAUACGAUGCUCAACUUGGGUAUACGAAUAUACCACAUCGACCUACUCGACGUCACGGACGUCGAGAAAUUUUUAGAAAAAUUUCUGAAGCUGCACACGCCCCCACGCGCCUGGCAGGCAUGGGUUCACGCGCCCCCCACGCGCUUGGGCAGGCAUGGGUUCACGCGCCCCCCACGUGCGUCUCCUACCUCGGUUCGCCGGACUGAGUUUUCCGGUGGCCGGAAAACUGGAGAUUUUUCAAUCUCCUUGUUCUCCGUCGUUUCUCAACCAUUUUCUUCGUAUUUUAUAUCAAAAUGAAGCCCUAAACAUGUAGUUUCAUGUUAUACUACUUUAAGGCUCUAAAAACUACGAAAUCUCACCGGAGAAAUUCCAAGAAAACCGGCCAAUUUCGAACCCAGUGAUCCCGACGUCCAAAACCUUUAAACGAAGCACUCCGAGCUUCCUUGGGACCUCACUAAGCUCACUAUAAGCUUAGAAUUCCCUGAAAAUCAACAUAUCACGAUUGCAUGAACAGUGACAUAAAAUGGGGGUUCGGGUUUCACGUGAUUUCGAAGGUUUCACGUUCUAAAACUAGUACCAAACGAUUUAGGAGGUCGAAAGGAUGAAAAACCAUACCUUUUUGGCGUCGAUCCGUGAAAGUUUGAGGGUAUUGACCCUUGUCCGUACAAUUCGAGAGGGAGAGAGAGACUGAACGGAGAAGAGAGAGAGAGGCACGGGGGAGGGAGAGAGAAGGGUUGACUGUGUGUGUGUGUUGUGUGGUCCACCUCAAACCAUCACCAUCCAUUUAAUUU
rnacentral:lncRNA from 1 species